CCUACGGGGGGCAGCAAUUAGGAAUCUUGCACAAUGGGCGAAAGCCUGAUGCAGCGACGCCGCGUGAGGGAUGACGGCCUUCGGGUUGUAAACUUCUUUUAAGAGGGACGAAGAAAGUGACGGUACCUCUUGAAUAAGCCCCGGCUAACUACGUGCCAGCAGCCGCGGUAAUACGUAGGGGGCGAGCGUUGUCCGGAUUUACUGGGCGUAAAGCGCGCGUAGGCGGACCUUUAAGUGGGGGGUGAAAUGCCGGGGCUCAACUCCGGAACUGCCCUUCAAACUGGGGGUCUUGAGGUAUGGAGAGGGAAGUGGAAUUCCUGGUGUAGCGGUGAAAUGCGUAGAUAUCAGGAGGAACACCCGUGGCGAAGGCGGCUUCCUGGUCAUAUCCUGACGCUGAGGUGCGAAAGCCAGGGGAGCGAACGGGAUUAGAUACCCCAGUAGUC
rnacentral:rRNA from 1 species